rnacentral:tRNA from 1 species
GCCUGGGUGGUUCAGUUGGUUGAGCAUCCGACUUUGGCUCGGGUCAUGAUCUCACGGUUUGUGAGUUCGAGCCCCACGUCAGGCU